CACAUACUUCCUCCGUCCCAAAAAUUUUGUCUUAAUUUUGUCUAGAUACGAAUAUAUCUAACACUAAAUCGUAAUUAGAUAUAUCCGUAUUUAGACAAAUCUAAAACAAAAAAUUUGAGAUGGAGGGAAUAUUCC
rfam:Triticum aestivum genome assembly, contig: Triticum_aestivum_CS42_TGACv1_scaffold_405249_5BL